rnacentral:rRNA from 1 species
UCCGUAGGCGGAAUGGAAAGUCUGAUGUAAAAGUCCUGGGCUCAACCUGGGAAUGCCAUUUGAAACUGUCAUUCUAGAGUAUAGGAGAGGAAAGGGGAAUUUCUGGUGUAGCGGUGAAAUGCGUAGAUAUCAGAAGGAACACCAAUGGCGAAGGCAACUUUCUGGCCAAAUACUGACGCUGAGGGACGAAAGCAUGGUUAGCGAACA